rnacentral:rRNA from 1 species
UUCGCCCUUGGUUGAUCUCGCCGGAGGCUACUGCUAUCGGAAUUCGAUUAAGCCACGCGAGUCGAGAGGGUUCGGCCCUCGGCUGACGGCUCAGUAACGCGUGGAUAACCUGCCCUCAGGUAGGGGAUAAUCUCGGGAAACUGAGGAUAAUACCCUAUAAAUAUCCUUUGCUGGAAUGCUUGGAUGUUCAAAGGCAACGCCUGAGGAUGGGUCUGCGGCCUAUCAGGUUGUAGUGGGUGUAACGGACCCACUAGCCCGCGACGGGUACGGGCCCUGAAAGAGGUAGCCCGGAGAUGGACUCUGAGACACGAGUCCAGGCCCUACGGGGCGCAGCAGGCGCGAAAACUUCGCAAUGCGGGAAACCGUGACGAGGGAAUUCCGAGUGCUCAUACAAUGUAUGGGCUUUUCUGAUGUGUAAAAAACAUGAGGAAUAAGGGCUGGGUAAGACCGGUGCCAGCCGCCGCGGUAAUACCGGCAGCUCUAGUGGUAGCCACUUUUAUUGGGCCUAAAGCGUCCGUAGCCGGUCAGGUAAAUCCUUGGGUAAAUCGUACAGCUUAACUGUGCGGCUUCCGGGGAGACUGCUUGACUUGGGACCGGGAGAGGUUGGAGGUACUCCUGGGGUAGGGGUGAAAUCCUGUAAUCCUAGGUGGACC